AGAGUUUGAUCCUGGCUCAGAGCGAACGCUGGCGGCAGGCCUAACACAUGCAAGUCGAGCGCCGUAGCAAUACGGAGCGGCAGACGGGAGAGUAACACGUGGGAACAUACCCUCCGGUUCGGAAUAGCUCAGGGAAACUUGGAUUAAUACCGGAUACGGCUGAGAGGCGAAAGAUUUAUCGCCGGAGGAUUGGCCCGCGU
rnacentral:rRNA from 1 species